UGAAUGUAGGAGAUUGGUAAAUGGUAAGUGAUGAGGGAACCAUUAAUAAGAAGGGGGUUGGGUUGAGUGUGGUUGGGUGCAUGGGGUCGUGGUCAUUUCUGGAAGUGAGAACCCAGGUGGUAGGGUCUACCCUGCACCAAUCCUUUGUCUUUUAUCUCGUUGGCUUUCCACACCUCCUUUAAUUUAAUUUUCACUCUUGUUAUAACCCCUCUCCUCUCUGCAUUCUCCUCCCUCAUAUCAUUCUCACUCACCCACUCAUCAUCACCACCACUCAUUUCUUCUCCUCUCCCCCCUUCUCUCUCAGUCCCCCCCUUGAACCUAGGCGAGACUCGUGGGAGUGAAAAAAUCAGAGACUGUCAAAAAGUAGCUAGCUCAUAUCUCUCAUACCCCCACUAAAGAAUUAAGACUUUAACCCACUAUUUUCAGGAAGCUUUGGUUUUUUGAGGGGAAUGUUGUCUGGCUCGAGGACCCUUCGACUUGAUCCAAUGCAACAUCCAAAUUUAGGGUGAUGGAAUGCGAAGUGUUGUCGGACCAGGCUUCAUUCCCCCCAAUUACACGCUUCCAUUUUGUAACAACAUAGCCUCUGCAGAUGGAGGUGGACUACUACUAUACUACUACUACUCUUGUACACCUUUUUCAUGUUCAUCAUUAGCCAGAUCUUCUACUACUACUACUACCAAUUACUAUGUUUUCCGAUCUGUCUGUUUCUGCCAUGUUUUCUCAGAUCUGGACACCUUUGAACACAGUUAAACAUUCUCUCCUCUUUUUCAACUCCAUCUUCCUCCCCUUUUUCACUUCAACUUUCUCUCUCUACCUAUUUUUCCACCUUCUCUCUCUAGGGUUUCUUGGCCUAUGUUCUGUCUCUAAUCUCUAUGAUCUUAUUGGAUUUGUUUAACAAUUUUUCUUAAUUGAUUGAUGAUAUUGUUUUUGUUGUUUUAGAUAUAAUUGUAAUGUGCAUUUACCUUCCUUCUGUGUGGUUUCAGUAGUAUCAUUCAGAUCUAUACUUUUCUCUGUUUUUCUCUGUCCUUAGUUUCCAUAUCAUUUUGUAAGUAAAAUUGAUAGAUCUGACCAGUGACGAUACAGAUAUUAUAAUAGAAUAAAGUUUUUCCAAGUAUAGGUAUGUAAAUGUUUUCUUGUUGGUGCUGCUAAACCAUAUGAUAUAGUUGUUUAUUCAAUAGACAUCUUUAGCUUUAACAUCUCAUGUUAUAGCUGAAUCCCUACACAUUAUAUUCAAAUAAUCUGUCAAAAGUAUGUAGCCAGAUUCUUUCUUUGCUUGUGUUGAUUAAGAUUCAAUGUUCAUCAAAAGAUCCUUCUUGAUCACUAUGUUACACUAUGUUCUUGAAGGACAAGGUGUACCUUUUUUUUUGAGGAUCAUCAUCAUGAAUUUAGCAAACAAUUGUGCAUUUUAAGUUGUUAACACCAAAAAAAAUGCUCAUCGUGCUUUUUAAGGACCAGGGUACUUCUUUAUUUAAGGAUCAUCAUCAUUUAAGAUUCAAUGUUCAUAAGAAAAGUGCUCAAUGCUUUGUCAGAAAGCAAAGAUUUGUGCAGGUAAGUGUGUCAUCAUUCAAUUAAUCAACUGAGCAUUAUUGUGCAGCAGACAUCACUGCAGUGUACCCGGUAUGCUUUUACAGGUUUGCAUUUAUGUGAAGUUUUGGUAUUCAGUGAUUAAUUUUGAAAGGAAUUGUUCUGGUAUAUAUCUCCUUUAUGAAUUUAACCUUUUCUAUUUGCCUUGUUUUCUACAUGAGCACGGGGAUUUAAUUUGGAAGAGAUAACAUCAUCAAAAAAGAGUUUGAUUCAGAAAUUGGUACAUGAAAAAGAUCAGCUAGGAGCAUAGGGGAAAAUAGUGCUCAUCCCAUCACUGUUUUCCCUUUAAGAUCACCAUUGUUGUUCACAUAUUCAUUCGUGCACGCAAAUGUGCACUCUACAAUUUUCAACGCAAUUCAUUUAUUCAAACCCUCUUCCCUCGAAUAAGUUAGCAAUAGAAUCUGAAUUUUUCUUCGGAUCUUACUCCUUUAUCCCAUUUUAUUUGAAGUUUAAGGGUGUGUUACAAGAAUUUAAAAUGUGUUCAUGUUUCAUAUUAUACCCGUAAUCUUUCAUUUUAAUUAACUUUCAUUCAAUUAUCCUUCUCCUAUAGUCUCCCUUAAAAAUAAUUUAAAAUAGAAUAAAAAAAUAUUUAGCUAUCGAGGAAUAACAUCUUCCUAAUAAAUUAUCAAGUUUCAUGAAAUUUAAAAAGAGUGAUUUAUGAACUAUAUUUAUUUUCUUAAUAAACAUGUUAACAGGCUGACGAGUGAGAUGGGCGGAGGAAGGUUAAAAUUGACUUUUUGAUUAUGUUGAAGAGAGAGAGAGAGAGAGAGUGAGAGAGAUAUACUUAUAAUGAAGCUCGGACGGAGAAAUCUAGUUGAUGCUCAAUUUCCCGCCCACAAAAUGAGUUGUUCACACAUGGAAAUUAGUGUUCGAUAAGGUGGAGGGUAAAAGUAAAGUCGUUCUCUAGCCACCACUAUUUGUCUACAUUUAGAGAACGGACUACAGUGGCAUGAGAUUUUAGCUAUCACCACUGCUAACUCUGAAUGAUACUUAACCGAUGCAAAUUAGCGUUGACGUAAACAAAUCAUGUUAUUUUGUUUUUCCCAUUUUGUCUCGGCUUUGCGUUGGUUUUAUCAACGCAAAAUCAAACCACUUUUGUAGUCUCACCAUCUUUGCCAACUAUGUCUGUUUUACAUUCCCCUUUGUUGCCACCCACCUUAGAUUGGUUUUUCAUCGCCGGUUUGGUUGCAAAUUUUACUGAACACCAUAUGUCACUGUAAGAAAACUUGCCUUUCAAAACGGCAAAAAACCCUUAGUAAUGGCCAGAUGGUCUCGACAAUAACAACUUCCCGACAAAUUAACAUCAACAAUUGUGUGAGCGUCAGUAUGUACAUCAUCAGAAACUGUUAUUGACGAUUUUUUCCGCUAGUAAAUUAGUGAUGGUUUGGGCCAUUGAGAAUCUAUAAGCAUAUUUUAACCUACCUAAGGGCUUGGAUGAUAAUACCUCCUCCUUUGUGGAACUUCUACUUUUAAUAUAUUAUGUUUUUUUGACCAUUUUUUAAUCCUCCUUCAUCUAGUUUCUAAUUUUCUAUAUAAUUUUUCAGAUCACAAUAGAAAAAAAAAAACCGCCUUUCACAAAUAAGAUAUGUAUUACUCGGUGAAAAUUACUAAAAAACCCACAAAUUGAAUUUCAAAAGGGCAUCAUACUAAACACUUGUAUCAACUACUUAGGGCACUUACUCGUUGUUGAGGGUAUCUGAGUCGGUAGGUAUCGUGCGAACGUGAUACCUUCGCAUUGUGUUACUAUGCAAUUUGGGACGGAUUAUUAUUUUCAAGUGUCUAAUUAAUACUCUAACAUCUUGAUCAAUCCUAAGGAGCAUACUUACACGACAUAUGAGGUGCUACACCAGACUACAAUGUUCGAACAAAGAUUGAGAAUAGAGUUAUGAGAGGAUGGUAAAAAUACAAUUAAUGAAGAGGUCAAGGUGACAAAAUUAAUAAAUAAAAAUACAAUUACUAACUAUUUAACUUUAUUUCUAUAAUUACUAAUUAUUUAUCUAAUAGUAUGUUAAUAGUGAUUUUAUGACUUGCAUGAUACACUCAAAACUUCCACUAAUACUUUAUUCACACGUUAAUUCUAAGAACGAAAAAAAUAGAAAUGAUAGAUAUUACCCUCACGAUCAGUUCCUUUUUUAUAAGACUUCCCAUAGAUAUUGUUGACGUCUCUUAAUAUAAAAACCCAUAUUAGAUUUUAGGAUUUCUUUUAUUCUUCCUUAUAUACCCCUAAAAUUUUAGUUAUUUAUUUCGUUUUUGUAAUUCUAAAAUUUUGACUACCAUUAAUAAUUAAUUUUCUUCCACACUAUUCAAUACACUAAUCUAUAAACUAUAUAAAGGGAGAGUUUGUGAAAUUUUGAGGGUAAGAUGAGAAUUCAAUAAAUCAAUGCACAUGAAUGAAUAUUUUUUCAUGGGCAUAUAUGUAAAUUUGUGACUAAUUAAUUAUGAAAUCAAACUUGACCGUUGAUUGCUUCUAAUCACAGCCGUGCAUUAUUUUCUUAAGAAACCCUUUAAGCAACCUUUUCACAUUCUUGGUUUUUUUUUUUUUUACUUUUGUAACUCUUGAUUGUGGUUACAAAAAUCAGCAAGAGUCUCUUCAUUUUUCUCCCAUAAAUUUAUUGAGUUUUGAGUCUUUUCAUUUCCUUUCAAAUUCUUUUCAUCUUUCUCAUCAUGAUAUCCAUAACCUAUAUUCAUAUGCAAGAAAUAUCUCCCACUGGAUUCUCCAACAGCACCAUUUCUUCUUCAUCAGCCACUUCUUCUUCAUCAUUUUUCAUACUUAGACGUUAAUGUUCUUCUCCAUCAUCAUCAAUAUCCAUCCGGUAAGAGCCCUUUUUUCCUUUUAUCUCCUUUUGAUUUAUGUAUUCUAAUUUCAUAAUCAUUUCUUCUUCACAUUUCGUUCUCAAGAUACGUUCUUCUCAACCGAUCUUCUUUUUUCCCAUCCAUUCUUCUCAUUCCUCAUCUUCCACUGCGAUAAGAUUCAAUGUUUAUUCGUAAUAUGCAUACUGUUAUCACUAAUUCAAUCGGUAGAAGUGACCCAUUUUAAUGCACUUUUGUCAUUGAUGCAUGUUUUGUUCUUAUUAACAUUGUUAUGAUCUUUUCUUAUCUUUUAUUCCAUUUUAGAAAUAAUUUUUCUUUACUUCCAGUUGUAACAUUAAACGGUUAAAUUCAUCUCCUUUAUCAUUUCUCUAAUUGUGUUUCAUGCACAAUUUUAUGAUGUUGCUUCCCUUACUUUACGGUAAUCUUCAGUUAAUGGAAGUUUCACGCUUUUUUUAUUUUCAUUGUUUUAUUAUCAACUAAAUCAACCAAAUGAUUGUUUCUACGUUUAACCUAAUACAUUGUAGCCUUUGUUCUCCUUUUACAUGUAACUAAUUUCAUUUCAAUUUUUCUUCUUUCAGAUUUUUCCUCUAUUGUUUCCAUUCUUCCAAUGUAUUAUCUUCAAAAUAUGUAAGUUUCUUGCAUUUUAUGUACUUUUUUAGUGUUUCAUUGUCUCCUAAAAAUGACUCUUUAGGUAGCAUCAUUUUAUUUUACUUUCUGCUGUUGAUUGUGGGGAGGAAGCAUGGGGUUUGUCUCCCAACUGAUAUGUCUCGAGAAAGCAAAGCGAGAAGGAAGAAAACGGUGAAGGGCAAGAUCGCUCUCUCCAACUAUGGUAAGAACCCUUCUUCUAAUUUUUUUUCUACCAUUUGUUUUGUGGAAAAUGAAGCGAGGGAAGAAAUCCACAAAGAGCAAGAUCGUUCUCUCCGACUGUGGUAAGAACCUUUCCUUUUUUUUCCUUCUUUCUGCGUUUUGACUUCAGAGUUCAGACUUAUUUUUCUACAAUUUAUUUUUCACAUUAGGUUGUUUUCUUCUUUAUUCUCAUUUCUCCUCUUCCACUCCAGUGAGAUACAGUCUUUAUUCCUCAAUUCAAUUUUUUUUUUCACAUUAGGUUGUUAUCUUCUUUAUUUUAUUCCUCAUAUGGGUGCAUGAUUUCAAAAAUAACAUCUUAUGAAGUAUCUCCGGGCUCAAGAAGUUCCCUAAUACCAUAAUUUAUUUUAUUAUCUUCUCAUAUUGUUAUCUCAAUUGAUUCUCUCCUAAUGUGUUUUUGAUACAUCGAAAAGAUAAAUUGCACCCUCCAGGAAUCGAACCCUGGACCUCCCCCUACCCAACUCAUAUGUACCCCAGCUCCUACCACUUGAGCUAUCCUAAAGAGAAUUAUUUUCUAAACCUAUCUUCUACUUUCUAUUAAAAAGAUAUUCAUUUUAAUUUUUUAAGGCCAAGAAUUGUCACCCAUUAAUUUACAGGUUUCAAUGCCCUCAUUUUGGAGGAGCUCUCUUAUAAGUUUCAAUGCCUUCUUUUUCAUUUAUAUGUGGUUAUUGAAGAAUUUUAUGGUUACAUAUUAGAAUUAAUAUUAGUUAAGAAAUUCUAGAGGGCAUGAUUAGUUAGUUAGGAUAUAUACAAGACAUUAAUCCUAAAUAUUAAAAGUUGACAGUUUAAACAUAAAAUUUAAUAUCAAUACCUAUAAAAACUUUUCACUACAACAAUUAUAAGUACUGACUUUCCACUAACUCUCUUAUAAGUCUAACAAUUUUUUUUCUCUAUUUGUGGUCAUUCAAUACACAAGUUGAUUUAUUGUUGAAUGCAUAUAUUGAAAGGAGUGGGAAAGGGAAAGAUAUAAGUCAGGUGGUACAACUCCUAUUAAAGAGGACGAAGAGGGGGAAAGAGAAGGAAGACGAAGAAGAAGAAAAAGAUGAUUCUGAGAAGCAUGACAACAAUAGUGUUGUAAAUGACUUUUCUUUGUUUCUUCAACUUUCUUGAUAUGUUAUUUCCAAGUGUUGCUUGCUAUACUUAAUUUUAAGAGUAUGCUAUGAACAUCAUGUUAUUGCAUCAAAAAGUUUGAGCUU